CGAGCGGGGGCGGAAGCAGGACGGCCCCGGGCCACCUGCGGGGCGCGAGGUCCCCGCCCAACGUGCGCACCCGGCCCUCAGCUUUGUAACUGCGACCCCGGCCCGGGAAGCGCGGGGUUCGAGAGCCCGGCGGGCGGGUGGGUGGAGGGGCUGGGAGGGAGCGGAGAGGAAGCUGGGGAGGGCGAAGGCAAGGAGAGGAGCGGGCGGGCGGCGGGGCUCACUCCUGCCGCCAGGGACCCAGAUCCAAAGUUCCGGACGCAGUGGCGCCGGGACUAGGUCCGAGUCCUAACUUGAGUCCCGGGUGUCCGCUGGGGUGCGCACUCGUGGGGAGUCGCGGUUGCUCCCGUUUCCCUCUCAUUCCAGUCCGACCGUCUCCCACGCGGUCCGCACACCCCCCGCCCCCAGGCGCUGACCUCUCCUGGAGAAAUCAGGCCGGGGACCGCGGACCGCUAACUCCGCCCCACGGAGCCCCUCGGAACUCGGGGUCACCGCUCUCGCCCCCACGCCCCUGGGUGCCCUCGCCCGUGGAGACGCCCCGCGCCCAUCCCAAGUUUCCCGGGCGCAGGUGUCCCGGCGCGCUCUCCAGCCCUCGGCGGAGCUCUCGUUUCAGGAAAAGGGGCGAUCAAAGAAAAAGAUUAGAACAGGCUUGGGCUGGACCCGGAGUUUAAAUAACAGCGACCUCUCCCUAAAGAGAGCGCCUGAGGGAGAACUGGGCCCCAGUGAGACGAGAAGCUGCCGCGGGGCCUCCUGGACCUGCCCCGGCCAGGCCAACCUGUUGGACGCCGGUCAGGUGGGGAGGGAGGGGCACGUGACUCACCUGCAGCUCCCGGCACACCUGGCUGCCUUCAGCUCGGUACUUGGCGGUGGAGCCUUCCUUCGAUUCUCCUGGUCCACGUGAGGUCUGGUUUCACCAGUCCAGAGAGAAGCUGCUCACAGCUGAGCUCUCCUGCACUCGCUUCCUCGCUGCUGCGCCUCCACCGCCUCCAGCCUCCCGGCCUCCGGGCUCUGCUGAGCUCCCGCCCCCGCCCAGCGCUGGGAGCCACCGCCGGGAAGUUCCCGCUCCAGCUGAGAAGGUCAAACAUCUAAGAAUCCUGCCAGAGAAAAUGAACCAUAGGCAUCUUUGUCUUCCACAAAGUGCUUCUAAGAAGGACCCUCAGUAAACUUGAAUUUCAUGCUGCAACUGAAAGAAAGGGAUUGAACUCAGGUCCUUGUGCUUGUGCAGCAGGCAGCGAAACCACUGAGCUAAAUCCCCAGCCCCAGACUCCCCUGAUUCUAAUGGGACUAAUGAGGUGUUGGAUGAGGAAGAUUGUAUAGGUCCUACCCUCUUUCAUGAAUGAGAAACACGCAAGCCCGGCAGCAUCAUGUCAGUGGUCUACCCUUCCACAUCACAG